rnacentral:lncRNA from 1 species
GUAACUCUCUGAAGGCCAUGGUGCCAGUCAAAUAGAAAUAUAACUUAGCAAAACGGAAACAGGAGAAGGGUGAUGAUGCUUGGGAAGUGCUGGCCUCCUCCUUCCUCUACCCUCUUCUUUUUGGGCAUAUUCUCUUGCAACUAUCAACCUUCCCUCUGCCUCUCUCCAACAAUGGGGAGGCUUGUGCUGGGAGCAGGCCCUUAGUCAUAUAAUCAGAUGGAUUUCUACUCUUUCCAAUCCAAUUUAUGGCUUUCUGAUCUAUUUAAAGUACAAUUAAUCUGGGGAUGUCUUAAUUUACAUAUAUUACAUUAAAUGAAUUAUUAGGGGCAUAGGAUGAAGCUGUGAAGUUACACAGUCUGAGUUCUCAUCUCAACAUUUCCACUCAAGAACGAUGUGACUUUGCUGAAGCUACUAAAAUUCUGUGCCUCAGUUUCCUCAUCUGUCAAUUGGAGAGGAUCAUAGUUGUAGCCACCUUAUAGGCUUUUGGAGCCCAGAACAAACAAUAAGAAUGAUUCAUGCUGUCCAUGGUAAUAAUGUUAAACAACUGCACCGAGCUUGUGAAAUGACAUCUGAGAAGAUUAGUGGGCUCCCAGUAGCGGAAGCAAUGGGAAGGCUUAACAAAGACUCUGCUUAGCCUUCCUUCCUUGAAUUCUAGUUCAUUUAUUGAUUCAUAACUGACCAUUUGAUUAAGGAGACAACCUGACUUACACAGCAGCCAGUGUCCUGGAAAGUACUUAACCAAGACACAUUACUUUUAGUCCUAAUGAAGAAACUAUCAGGUCUGGUAAGAAUAAGAGGAAACAAAAUGUUAUUGGCAUGCUCAAUAAUGAUAAAGCCAAGAUGUCACCUGCCAGUACAAUGAAGAGGGACUGGGGUCUUGGCACUAAAAGUCUCCCUGAAUUGCCAUCAUGUCAUGAAAAAUACUUUGUUUUAAACUUAAUGGAAUGGAUUGUCAUUUUGGUGGAUUUUUGCCAGUGAAGAAUUUAUCAGACUCAAUAGCCUCCAUCACUUGGCAGGACAGAAAGGCCUCGAAAGCCUCUUUCAGUAUCUCUGAGCAUACCUAACAUUUAGAAAGGUAGGCCUGUGUAGCAAGUGUGAAAGUGUUCCUCUCCAUGCCCUUACGGCUUUACUCAACCAUGUUUCCUCUUUUAUCAUUUAUUGGAAAAACCUUUUACUAUCUCUUCUUACUUCCUUUCCUUUGUUAGCUACAAAGGGAAGAUUUUCUUUUGCAAAUCCUUAGUAAUUAAAUGAGCACUUCAGUGGCUGUAGCCCUCAAUGGCCUGUUUCCUAGGUUUUGCCUUUGACAGUCAUAUUUUGCAAAGGCCCCUGAGAUGACUCUGCAUCUUCCCCUACUCAACGCUAAACCAACUGAAGCCCGUGCUCACUGCAUGAAGGAGGAAAAGAUUCAUUAAGGGCACUUCAUUAAGAGGCUGAAAUGGGAAGCUCUAAAUGCGCCUGAACCAACUACAAUCCAGAGAAGCUGUCUAUUAGGAGUGCCACAAAGACAGUUUCGGAAGCUAAACUCCAGCUCCAGUGCAUCGGAUUAGGAAGAGUGAUGGGAUUAGUGUUUAAUGACUUGGGGCAGGAGACAAAGGGAAUUUCGACAAAGAGGCUUAGAUAUGGAAGAAUUAACACUCUGUAUUCCAACCAGGCCUCUGAUGACUUCCAGCAUUCUUUUCAGACUCAAAAGCCAAGGGAAGGGAAUAAAAAAAAAAAAAAGAUGUGCAAAGCUUUAAUACUUUUCUAACUUUUUUUAUUGCAACAACAAUACAGAGGAAAUAAAAGAACCCUAUUCACUCCUUUGGACUUGAAACCUCUUUUAAAAAUAAGCAUCUACAAUUGUAUAAUUAGCCCCAAGGUGAGCUUGCCCAGGGCCUCAAACAUGUGCCAGAAUGCUUCUCUGCUUCCUAAUGCUAGGGCAAGUCACAAACUGAUGUGGACACUAAAGCAAAACCUAUGGUAGCAGAGGCCCAGCUAAGUGGCUGUACAAGAUUUUUUUCUCUCCAUGGCUGUUUAUGUUACAGGUGCAACUGAAGGAACAGAGAAACUGUGUAAUUGUAAAACCUCCUUGUGGCCCCACAUGGCUCAUACUCAAAUGAUUCCAGUGUCUAUGGCCUGAGAAGUGCUUCAUGAAAUGAGGAACAGUGCCUCAAGUCAGAGAUUGGCAUGGUGAGUCGCCGGGAGGUGGAAAAGAGGCACAGCUUCAUUGAAGCUACAGUUGGCUGCAAGGAACCAUUUCAAAUCAUCUUAGUUCUACGGGGCCAUUCAGGUGGCAAAGGCCCAGGUAACAUUUGAUCAAGUUGCUACAGGGCUUGGACCUACUUUUAUUGCCCCUUACUUUUCCCACUAACAUUUUUGCUUGAAAUAUCGAUGUUUUUUUGGUGCAGCAAAACUCUUUUCCCACAGCUAAAUUGAAGUAGGGCAUAUGUGCUUCCCUCACCUCGCUCCCAGUCCCUCUUGACCCCGAAAUGGUCUAGCAGCCUGUGCUUUGUUAAACUGAAAAUGUGUAGAAAUUUUUAUAGAGAUAUUCAGCUAUAUAAAUAGCUUUGAAAUUUGUCAUAACUUUAAAAACAGGUCAAAAAGGAAAUUGAACAGCUAGUGAGUUUCUGUCUUAGUCCGUUUUGUGCUGCUAUAACAGAAUACCAUAAACUAGGUAAUUUAUAAACAAUAGAAGUUUAUUUGUCUCAAUGGCCAACAAGCAUAUGGAAAAAUGUUCAACAUCACUAAUUAUCAGGGAAAUACAAAUCAAAACCACAGUGCGAUACCACGUAACUUCUGCAAUAAUGGUCAUAAUCAAAAAAUAAUAAUAAAUAAAUAGAUGUUGGCAUGGAUAUGGUGAAAAGGGAACACUUUUACUGGGUUGGUGGGAAUGUAAACUAGCACAACCACUAUAGAAAACAGUAUGGAGACUCCUUAAAGAACUAAAAGUAGACCUACCAUUUGACCUAGCAACCCCACUGCUAUGUAUCUGCUCAGAAGUAAAGAAGUCAUUAUACAAAAAAGACACUUGUUACAUGCAUGUAUAUAGCAGUACAAUUGCCCAAAUGCCCAUCAAUCAAUGAGUGGAUAAAAAAUGUUAUAUACAUACAUAUAUGUGUGUGUAUAUAUACAUAUACAUAUACACACACACACACAUACACACACACACACACACACACACACAUAUACCAUGGAAUACUGCUCAGCCAAAGAAAGGAAUGAAAUAAUGGGAUUUGCAGCAACCUGGAUGGAAUUGGAGGCUAUUAUUCUAAGUGAAGUAACUCAGGAAUAGAUAACCAAACAUACAUGUUCUCACUCAUAUGUGGGAACUAAGCUAUGAGAAUGCAAAGGCAUAAGAAUGAUAUAUUGGAGUUUGGAGACUCAAAGGAAAGAGUGGGGGAGAGGGAGGGAUAAAAGACUACACAUUGGGUACAGUAUACAAUGCUUGAGUGAUGGGUGCAACAAAAUCUCAGAAAUCCCCACUAAUGAGCAUAUUCAUGUAACAAAAUACCAUCUGUUCCCCAAAACUUAUUGAAAUAAAAAAUAAAAAAUUAAUGAUAAUAACAAUAAAAAGAAGUUUAUUUGUCUUAUGUUUCUGGAGGCCAGGAAGUCCAAGAUCAAGGGGUUGCAUCUAGUGGGGGUCUUCUUGCUGAGUCAUAACCUGGCAGAAGACAUCACAUGAAGAGAGAAUGGAUGAGAGCCAGCAAGCAAGAGAGGGCCAAACUUGCUUUUAUAACAAACCCAUUCCUGACAUCAUGAACUUACCCCUGCCAUAAUGACAUUAAUCCAUUCCAGGGGGCAAAGCUCUCAUGACCUAAUCACCUCUCAAAAGUGCCACCUCUCGAUGCUGUUGCAUUGGGGAUUAAGUUUCCAACACAUGAACUCUGGGGAGAUGCAUUCAAACCUUAGCAGUUUAA